CUGGAGACUCCAUGGCUUCAAAAUGCAUUUUUCUGCUGGCUGCCUGAUGGCUGUCUGGGGACACAAAAUUUAGAAACCAUCCUUGCUGACUGACCCUCUUAUAUGUGCCAUUUCAGUAAUUAAGCUUCUGAUAUCACAAAUGGACUUAGCAAUUUGGAAGCAUUAUGAACAUCAUCAACAACAAGUGGUUGCCAAAUAAAGAUGACCUGAAUUAAAAGAAAGACUUUGAAUUACACAUAAGAAUUAACAAGCAUGAAUACAACAAAGUUCUUU